rnacentral:rRNA from 1 species
UUCCUACGGGACGCAGCAGUGGGGGAUAUUGCACAAUGGAGGAAACUCUGAUGCAGCGACGCCGCGUGAGGGAAGACGGUCUUCGGAUUGUAAACCUCUGUCUUUGGGGAAGAAAAUGACGGUACCCAAAGAGGAAGCUCCGGCUAACUACGUGCCAGCAGCCGCGGUAAUACGUAGGGAGCGAGCGUUAUCCGGAUUUACUGGGUGUAAAGGGAGCGUAGGCGGCCUGGCAAGCCUGAUGUGAAAUACCGGGGCCCAACCCCGGGGCUGCAUUGGGAACUGCCAGGCUGGAGUGCCGGAGAGGC